CAGCCGCCACGGGAAUACGGAGGGUGCUAGCGUUAAUCGGAAUUACUGGGCGUAAAGCGCACGCAGGCGGUCUGACAAGUCAGAUGUGAAAUCCCCGGGCUUAACCUGGGAACUGCAUUUGAAACUGUCAGGCUGGAGUCUUGUAGAGGGGGGUGGAAUUCCAGGUGUAGCGGUGAAAUGCGUAGAGAUCUGGAGGAAUACCGGUGGCGAAGGCGGCCCCCUGGACAAAGACUGACGCUCAUGUGCGAAAGCGUGGGGAGCAAACAGGAUUAGAUACCCGUGUAGUCCCUGUCUCUUAUAA
rnacentral:rRNA from 1 species